rnacentral:rRNA from 1 species
CCUACGGGAGGCAGCAGUCGAGAAUUAUUCACAAUGGGGGGAAACCCUGAUGGUGCGACGCCGCGUGGGGGAAUGAAGGUCUUCGGAUUGUAAACCCCUGUCAUGUGGGAGCAAAUUAAAAAGAUAGUACCACAAGAGGAAGAGACGGCUAACUCUGUGCCAGCAGCCGCGGUAAUACAGAGGUCUCAAGCGUUGUUCGGAAUCACUGGGCGUAAAGCGUGCGUAGGCUGGUUCGUAAGUCGUGUGUGAAAGGCGCGGGCUCAACCCGCGGACGGCACAUGAUACUGCGAGACUAGAGUAAGGGAGGGGGAACCGGAAUUCUCGGUGGAGCAGGGAAAUGCGUAGAUAUCGAGAGGAACACUCGGGGGGAGGGCGGGUUCCUGGACAUUAACGGACGCUGAGGCACGAAGGCCAGGGGAGCGAAAGGGAUUAGAUACCCCAGUAGUC